rnacentral:rRNA from 1 species
AUUGAACGCUGGCGGCAUGCUUUACACAUGCAAGUCGAACGGUAACAGGCCUUCGGGUGCUGACGAGUGGCGAACGGGUGAGUAAUGCAUCGGAACGUGCCCAGAGGUGGGGGAUAACGCAGCGAAAGCUCUGCUAAUACGCCAUGUGAUCUGAGGAUGAAAGCGGGGGACUUGCUAGCAAUGUUUGGCCUCGCGCCUUUGGAGCGGCCGAUGUUGGAUUAGGUAGUUGGUGGGGUAAAGUCCUACCAAGCCGACGAUCUGUAGCUGGUCUGAGAGGACGACCAGCCACACUGGGACUGAGACACGGCCCAGACUCCUACGGGAGGCAGCAGUGGGGAAUUUUGGACAAUGGGCGCAAGCCUGAUCCAGCAAUGCCGCGUGCGGGAAGAAGGCCUUCGGGUUGUAAACCGCUUUUGUACGGAACGAAAAGGCUCUGGCUAAUACCUGGUGCUGAUGACGGUACCGUAAGAAUAAGCACCGGCUAACUACGUG